AAUGAACGUUGGCGGCGUGGAUUAGGCAUGCAAGUCGUGCGGAAAGGCUCCUUCGGGAGUACUCGAGCGGCGUAAGGGAGAGUAACGCGUGGAUAUCUACCCCCUGGACUGGGAUAUCGGCGGGAAACUGCCGGGAGUACCAGGUAAUGUCUGCGGAUCCAAGGUGUGAAUCCGCCGGGGGAUGAGUUCGCGUCCUAUUAGCUAGUUGGUAGGGUAAUGGCCUACCAAGGCAAAGAUGGGUACCGGGUGUGAGAGCAUGGCCCGGCUCACCGGGACUGAGACACUGCCCAGAAACCUACGGGUGGCUGCAGUCGAGAAUCUUCGGCAAUGGGCGCAAGCCUGACCGAGCGACGCCGCGUGCGGGAUGAAGGCCUUCGGGUUGUAAACCGCUGUCAGAGGGGAGGAAAUGCGUGAGCGUUCUCUCUCACGUUUGACCUAUCCUCAGAGGAAGUACGGGCUAAGUUCGUGCCAGCAGCCGCAGUAACAC
rnacentral:rRNA from 1 species